rnacentral:rRNA from 1 species
UACAGAGGGUGCGAGCGUUAAUCGGAAUUACUGGGCGUAAAGCGUGCGUAGACGGUAGCGUAAGUCAGAUGUGAAAGCCCCGGGCUCAACCUGGGAAUUGCAUUUGAGACUGCUCUGCUCGGGUGCGGAAGGGGGAAGCGGAAUUUCCGGUGUAGCGGUGAAAUGCGUAGAUAUCGGAAGGAACACCAGUGGCGAAAGCGGCUUCCUGGUCCGACACCGACGUUCAGGCACGAAAGCGUGGGGAGCAAACAGG